AUUGAACGCUGGCGGCAUGCUUUACACAUGCAAGUCGAACGGCAGCGGGGUAGUGCUUGCACUACUGCCGGCGAGUGGCGAACGGGUGAGUAAUAUAUCGGAACGUACCGAGUAAUGGGGGAUAACCAAUCGAAAGAUUGGCUAAUACCGCAUACGUCCUGAGGGAGAAAGCGGGGGAUCGCAAGACCUCGCGUUAUUCGAGCGGCCGAUAACUGAUUAGCUAGUUGGUGGGGUAAAGGCCUACCAAGGCGACGAUCAGUAGCGGGUCUGAGAGGACGAUCCGCCACACUGGGACUGAGACACGGCCCAGACUCCUACGGGAGGCAGCAGUGGGGAAUUUUGGACAAUGGGGGCAACCCUGAUCCAGCCAUGCCGCGUGUAUGAAGAAGGCCUUCGGGUUGUAAAGUACUUUUGUUAGGGAAGAAAAGGGAAGUGCUAAUACCACUUUUUGCCGACGGUACCUAAAGAAUAAGCACCGGCUAACUACGUG
rnacentral:rRNA from 1 species